rnacentral:rRNA from 1 species
AAAAAGCUGUUAAAAGCGACUCCAACCUCGCCUCUUCUUCGUCCCUCUUUCUCAGUUUCUCCUCAACCAUCACCAAUACCACACGCAUCCGGAGCCAAAAGCGAGCACUCAAAGGAACAAAUCAAUCCCAAGCAAUCCUUCCCGCCGGAGCUUCCUGCCAUGACUAUCCAGACGCUGAAGGCGCGCAUCCUGCGCGUCCUCAGAUCGUCACUCCCCGCUGCCGCCGCCGCCGCAUCGGCAUCCCUGCCGCCGUCGCCGACCAAGCCCGGCCGCGUCGUGCUCCACUCCACCGACGGACUAUCCGACGAUGCGUCCUUCUUCGACGCCCACGAGACCCCCACCAAGAUUAACCUCCCCGCUGAGCCCAUCGACGACGACUGGGAGCUCGUUGACCAGGACGGCUACGACCGGGACUCCCUUGCCUCGGGGUCGGCGCCGGCGUCUGAUCCCGACGGCAUGCUCCGGGAUUUCCCGGCCAGGUGCCCACCCGGCGGCGACGAAGCCGUGGUGCUCUAUACCACCACGCUCCGGGGCAUCCGCAAGACGUUCGAAGACUGUAACGACGUGCGCGCUCUGCUGGAUAACCUCGCCGUGGCGUUUCAGGAGCGCGACGUGUCCAUGGACCGGGGUCUCCGGGAGCAGCUCUGGGCUGCCACCGGCGAAAAGGCCGUGCCCCCGCGGCUCUUCGUCCGCGGCCACGAUCUCGGGGGCGCCGCCCAGGUGCUUGCACUCCACGAGGACGGUCGCCUUACCUCCCUCCUCCAGCUGCCGUCACUUGCGCCCCCGGAGGCGGCGGUCAGCAGCAACAAGAAGAGGGAGAAGUGCGAGGCGUGCGGGGGGCUGAGGUUCGUGGUAUGCGGUGAGUGCGAUGGCAGCCGGAAGGUGUUCGACGGCGAGCGCGGUGAUGUCCGGUGCCACGGAUGCAACGAGAACGGACUCGUCAUGUGCACGCUUUGCUUGUACCCGAGCUGAAGCAAUGUAAAUUAACUAGCGGUUAAUUGCCAAUCACCUGCUCCUUUUUUUAAUAAGUUAAUUAAUUACCGACCAUAGUGGUACCACUUUGGGGCUUGAGUGUGUAAUUGGAUUUAGUGGUUGUCUUGUCAUGUAGUACAUACAUUAUGCUAGUUUUCGUUUAUGUUUAUAUUUGUGUUCAACCACAUAGAGAUGUGACAUGCAUAUGGGGUUAGAUGUCCAUGUCAGUAUAAGAUUCUGAUCCACCUAGAUUCGGUCUCGGAUUUCUCCAGCAGGGAUGAGCCGCUGUUCCUUGGGUCUCGUCGGAUAGCGGCCAGAGCGGGUUGCCGUAUGAUGGGAGGAUCAGUGGGAGCAGUGGUGGUGCAGCGGCGGCGGCGGCGCCACGCAGUCAGCCGUGGAGGUUUGGAGUCAGGGAUGUGAGAGCGAC